rnacentral:tRNA from 1 species
GCAUUGAUGAUUCAGUGGUAGAAUUCUUGCCUUCCCUGUGGGAGACCCAGGUUCAAUUCCCAAUCAGUGCA